UGCCCUGUGACCCAGUUUAACGGGCCGCGGUAUCUUAACCGUGCAAAGGUAGCACAAUCAAUUGUUCUUUAAAUAAGGACUAGUAUGAACGGCAUCACGAGGGAUUAGCUGUCUCCCUCCUUCCAUCAAUGAAACUGAUCUUCUCGUGAAGAAACGAGAAUAAAAAUAUAAGACGAAAAGACCCCAUGGAGCUUUAAACUCAUCAACAACUACUUAAGUGUAACCUUAAUAAUUAGUAGAGAUGUUCCUGAUAGUUUUAGGCUGGGGUGGCCCUGGGGUAAAAUAAAACCCCCAGGAUGAAUGGAAUUAUAACCCUAAAUUAAGAGCUACAACUCUAACAAUCAAAACUUUGACACAAUUGAUCCACUAUAUGAUCAACGAACCAAGUUACCCUGGGGAUAACAGCGCAAUCCAUUUCAAGAGCCCCUAUCGACAAAUGGGUUUACGACCUCGAUGUUGGAUCGGGAUAUCCUAGCAGCGCAGCAGUUGCUAACGGUUCGUUUGUUCAACGAUUAAUAAUCCCACGUGAUCU
rnacentral:rRNA from 1 species